rnacentral:rRNA from 1 species
AUUGAACGCUGGCGGCAUGCCUUACACAUGCAAGUCGAACGGCAGCACGGGAGCUUGCUCCUGGUGGCGAGUGGCGAACGGGUGAGUAAUACAUCGGAACGUGCCUGUUAGUGGGGGAUAACCAAGCGAAAGUUUGGCUAAUACCGCAUACGUCCUGAGGGAGAAAGCGGGGGGAUCUUCGGACCUCGUGCUAACAGAGCGGCCGAUGGCUGAUUAGCUAGUUGGUGAGGUAAAGGCUCACCAAGGCGACGAUCAGUAGCGGGUCUUAGAGGACGAUCCGCCACACUGGGACUGAGACACGGCCCAGACUCCUACGGGAGGCAGCAGUGGGGAAUCUUGGACAAUGGGCGCAAGCCUGAUCCAGCAAUGCCGCGUGGGUGAAGAAGGCCUUCGGUUGUAAGCCUUUGUACGGAGGUCGAAAUACCUGCCUGUUAAUACCGGCGGGAGUGAGAGUACCGUAAGAAUACAGCACCGGCUAACUACGUG